GGUGUAGGUGGCUUUGUAAGUCAGGUGUGAAAGCCUAGGGCUCAACCCUAGAAGUGCAUUUGAUACUGCGAAGCUUGAGUGCUAGAGAGGUUACUAGAAUUGUUGGUGUAGUGGUGAAAUACGUAGAUAUCAACAGGAAUACCGGUGGCGAAGGCGGGUAACUGGCUAGACACUGACACUCAGACCCGAAAGUGCGGGGAUCAAACA
rnacentral:rRNA from 1 species